UUUGAUGUUCGGAAAUUCGAUGAAUCGUGCCCUAACGUGCUGGGUUUCGAUUUCUCGUUCGACUAAAUAGCCAAAUAUCCUCUUAAAGCUUCAAAGUAUGGUAUCAUUAAACUAUAAGGCGAUCUUGGUUUCGAUGGUUUAGAGUAUCGUGUCCUAACGUGCUGGAUAUGAUAUUCCUUCGGAACAAGAGAAUCUUAUAUUUCAAUUCACGUUAUCAGAGUUUCUUUUAAGGAUCGUAUUUUUAAAACUCUUCAAAUUUUCAAUUUUCGACACUAAGACACUGAUUAAUCAACUAGGUACCAAUUUUGGGCGUAUCGAGGGUGCUAAUCCUUCCUCGUGCGUAACCGACUCCCGAACUCAUUUUUCUGAAUUUCGUAGACCAAAAUCGUUGUUUUAAUAAAAUUAAAUCAUUUAUUAAAAACAACCACUUUUUGAGGUGACCCGAUCACACCUCGUCAAAAAAGGAUUGGUGGCGACUCCCGUUUUCUUUCUUUU
rnacentral:lncRNA from 1 species